CUUACACGUCUCUGGAGCUCA
rnacentral:piRNA from 1 species